rnacentral:rRNA from 1 species
UACGGAGGGUGCAAGCGUUAUCCGGAUUCACUGGGUUUAAAGGGUGCGUAGGAGGGCAGGUAAGUCAGUGGUGAAAUCUUUGGGCUUAACCCGAAAACUGCCAUUGAUACUAUCUGUCUUGAAUGCGGUGGAGGUGAGCGGAAUAUGUCAUGUAGCGGUGAAAUGCUUAGAUAUGACAUAGAACACCGAUUGCGAAGGCAGCUCGCUACACCUGCAUUGACUCUGAG